AGGAGACCAGUCCUGAAUUCUCAAGUCCUCCCAGUCAGGGGUCAGCACUGAACACAGGUCACUCACCAUGGACUUAUGGCUCAUAUUGGUUUUCCUUGUCCUUAUUUUAAAAGGGGGACAGUGUGAGGUGCAAUUGCUGGAGUCUGGAGGAGGCUUAGUGCAGCCUGGAAAUUUCCUGAAACUCUCCUGUGCAACCUCUGGAUUCACCUUCAGUAGUUAUGCAAUGAACUGGUUCCGCCAGGCUCCAGGGAAGGGGCUGGAGUGGGUCGCAUAUAUUAGUGGUAGUAGUAGCUACAUCUAUUACACUGACACUGUGAAGGGCCGGUUCACAAUCUCCAGAGACGAUGCCAAGAACACUCUGUACCUGGAAAUGAGCAGUAUGAGGUCUGAGGACACAGCCGUGUAUUACUGUGCAAGAGACACAGUGAGUGAAUGCUACAGUGAGCUCAGACAAAAACACCGCUGUGGGUAA